CGAAAUGCGAUAAGUAGUGUGAAUUGCAGAAUUCAGUGAAUCAUCGAAUCUUUGAACGCACAUUGCGCCCUUUGGUAUUCCAAAGGGCAUGCCUGUUCGAGCGUCAUUUGUACCCUCAAGCUUUGCUUGGUGUUGGGCGUCUUGUCUCUAGCUUUGCUGGAGACUCGCCUUAAAGUAAUUGACAGCCGGCCUACUGGUUUCGGAGCGCAGCACAAGUCGCACUCUCUAUCAGCAAAGGUCUAGCAUCCAUUAAGCCUUUUUUUCAACUUUUGACCUCGGAUCAGGUAGGGAUACCCGCUGAACUUAAGC
rnacentral:misc_RNA from 1 species